rnacentral:rRNA from 1 species
AUUGAACGCUAGCGGGAUGCCUUACACAUGCAAGUCGAACGGAGUGGCGAACGGGGGAGUAAUGUAUCGGAACGUGCCCAGUAGCGGUGGAUAACUACGCGAAAGCGUAGCUAAUACCGCAUACUCUUGCAACCGCCGGUAUCGGGAUAGCUAGUUGGUGGGGUAACGGCUCACCAAGGGGACGAUCCCUAGCUGGUUUGAGAGGACGACCAGGCACACUGGGACUGAGACACGGGCCAGACUCCUACGGGAGGCAGCAGUGGGGAAUUUUGGACAAUGGGAGAAACCCUGAUUCAGCCAUCCCGCGUGUGCGAUGAAGGCCUUCGGGUUGUAAAGCACUUUUGGCAGGAAAGCGGUACCUGCAGAAUAAGCAACGGCUAACUACGUGCCAGCAGCCGCGGUAAUAC